ACAGGGGGACGAACCGAGCCGGAAACCGGCCGUAGCUAAUACCGCAUAACAAGGGAUUGCCGCAUGACGAUCCUUCUAAAGAUUUAUCGCUGUGAGAUGGACCCGCGUCUGAUUAGUCUUGUUGGUGGGGUAACGGCCGUACCAAGGCGACGAUCAGUAGCCGGCUUGAGAGAGUGAACGGCCACAUUGGGACUGAGACACGGCCCAGACUCCUACGGGAGGCAGCAGUGGGGAAGUAUUGCACAAUGGGGGAAACCCUGAUGCAGCGACGCCGCGUGAGUGAAGAAGUAUUUCGGUAUGUAAAGCUCUAUCAGCAGGGAAGAUAAUGACGGUACCUGACUAAGAAGCCCCGGCUAACUACGUG
rnacentral:rRNA from 1 species